rnacentral:tRNA from 1 species
GUCCCCGUAGCUCAGCCCGGAUAGAGCACUGGCCUCCGGAGCCAGGAGCACAGGUUCAAAUCCUGUCGGGGACACCA